AGUGAACGCUGGCGGUAGGCCUAACACAUGCAAGUCGAACGGCAGCACAGUAAGAGCUUGCUCUUACGGGUGGCGAGUGGCGGACGGGUGAGGAAUACAUCGGAAUCUACUUUUUCGUGGGGGAUAACGUAGGGAAACUUACGCUAAUACCGCAUACGACCUACGGGUGAAAGCAGGGGAUCUUCGGACCUUGCGCGAUUGAAUGAGCCGAUGUCGGAUUAGCUAGUUGGCGGGGUAAAGGCCCACCACGGCGACGAUCCGUAGCUGGUCUGAGAGGAUGAUAAGCCACACUGGAACUGAGACACGGUCCAGACUCCUACGGGAGGCAGCAGGGGGGAAUAUUGGACAAUGGGCGAAAGCCUGAUCCAGCCCUACCGCGUGGGUGAAGAAGGCCUUCGGGUUGUAAAGCCCGUUUGGUGGGAAAGAAAAGCAGCAGGUUAAUACCCAGCUGUUCUGACGGUACCAAAAGAAUAAGCACCGGCUAACUUCGUG
rnacentral:rRNA from 1 species